rnacentral:rRNA from 1 species
GUGCCAGCAGCCGCGGUAAUACGUAGGUGGCAAGCGUUGUCCGGAUUUACUGGGCGUAAAGGAUGCGUAGGUGGAAACUUAAGUGGGAUGUGAAAUCCCCGGGCUCAGCCCGGGAACUGCAUUCCAAACUGGGUUACUUGAGUGCAGGAGAGGAAAGCGGAAUUCCUAGUGUAGCGGUGAAAUGCGUAGAUAUUAGGAGGAACACCAGUGGCGAAGGCGGCUUUCUGGACUGUAACUGACACUGAGGCAUGAAAGCGUGGGGAGCAAACAGGAUUAGAUACCCUGGUAGUCC